rnacentral:rRNA from 1 species
CGGUUCUAUUUUGUUGGUUUCUAGAGUCGCCGUAAUGAUUAAUAGGGAUAGUUGGGGGUAUUCGUAUUCAAUUGUCAGAGGUGAAAUUCUUGGAUUUAUGGAAGACGAACUACUGCGAAAGCAUUUACCAAGGAUGUUUUCAUUAAUCAAGAACGAAAGUUAGGGGAUCGAAGAUGAUUAGAUACCAUCGUAGUCUUAACCAUAAACUAUGCCGACUAGGGAUUGGCGGUCGUUACCUAGACUCCGUCAGCACCUUCCGAGAAAUCAAAGUCUUUGGGUUCCGGGGGGAGUAUGGUCGCAAG